rnacentral:rRNA from 1 species
GAUGAACGCUGGCGGCGUGCUUAACACAUGCAAGUCGAACGGUGAAGCAGAGCUUGCUCUGUGGAUCAGUGGCGAACGGGUGAGUAACACGUGAGCAACCUGCCCCUGACUCUGGGAUAAGCGCUGGAAACGGCGUCUAAUACUGGAUAUGAGCUGCGACCGCAUGGUCAGCAGUUGGAAAGAUUUUUCGGUCUGGGAUGGGCUCACGGCCUAUCAGCUUGUUGGUGAGGUAAUGGCUCACCAAGGCGUCGACGGGUAGCCGGCCUGAGAGGGUGACCGGCCACAGGGGGACGGAGACAGGGCCCAGCACCCGCGGGGGGCAGGCGGGGGGAAAGAUGGAACAGGGGGCAAGAGCCGGAUCCAGCCACGCGGGGGGAGGGAGGGCGGCUUGGGGGUGGAACACCUUUUUGGGCGGGAAAGAAGGAAAAGUGAGGGGCCCGGAAGAAAAAGCCCCGGCUAACUACGUG